rnacentral:lncRNA from 1 species
AUGUCAUUAAAGUUAUUGUUUAAAGAAUAUGGCGGUGAUAUCAUGGAACUGGUCUUUGGAAAAGUUUUCCCUGAACCAACUCCGUUUCUAGAUGAGGACCAGUUUGAAGCCCACAUACAGCCCCUCCCUCAUCAUCAGGAAACAUCAAUCCGUAUCCUGAGGACAACAGAAGACGGCAGGAGGACAGGAACUCUGAGACCUAGAUACCACCAGCACUGGGACACAAAGCACCUGUGUGUACAACGCCUACUAAAGCCUAUUUAUUAUAUUGUUCUGCUUCUUUGCUGUGAGGUUAAUACUUAGAAAAGUUGUAUAUUAAUAUAAACAAUAAAAAAAAUCACUGAUAGUACGUUUCCUCUUAGAUGUAAUGUCAGCCUUGUAAACAUUUAUUGCAUCCUGUAGGUAAAUACACAGAACAGGCUCAGAUCCAUGAUGAUCCAGCAUGCUUCUUCAUUCUGGCUUUCAUCUAAUGUAUUUAUUUAGAAUGCAGGUAAGAUUUAACUAUAUUUGUUAGCAAAGCAGACUGAUCUUGGGAAUUUCUCCGCAGCACUGAUUUCUCAACCUCUGUGUACAUGUUAGAAUUAACACGGUUACAGCUAAACACACACUUAAUUAAGAUAUAGGCUAUGAAUUGCAGACAAUAAAAACGUAAAGAUGUAAGCAUUAGAAUGAUAAUAAUCACAUUAAAGAACAUUUGGAGAAAUGUACUUUAUUUGUGACUAGAAUCUCAAACCUUUAAAUCAAAAUGUAACUGCUUUUUAUCCAUUUUCAGCCAUUAAGACACCCAAUAUAAAAUAAGACUACUUAUAAAAUUAUUUAUAAUUAUAUGUAUGUAUAUAUAUAGAUAGAGAUCUUAAUAAAAUGUAUUCUUUUAAUGGUGUUUUAAUGAGCUGUAUCAUUUUUUAAAACAUUUUUUAUAGAAAUAAAUAAGCAAGCAGCAUUCCUUGUGUGUGUGUGUG